AUUUUUUUUUAAUUGAUUAAGAACACAGAGACAGUAAAGGCAAGCAUCCAUAGAUGACAAAAGCUUUAAAUUUAAUUAUUAAAAAUAAAACUAUAAUUUAUGCAACUAAGGCAGAUGAAGAAGCUAUAGGUUUACAUUUUUCUUGUAAAUCUUCAAGAAAAUAUUUAUCUUAAAGAAAAGAUAUGCUGUACAGAUAAUUACUGUGAAAAAGGUACAGUAAAUCUA
rnacentral:misc_RNA from 1 species